AUUGAACGCUGGCGGAAGGCCUAACACAUGCAAGUCGAGCGAGCUGCGGACGGGUGAGUAAUGUAUGGGGACUGCCCGAUAGAAGGGGAACACUACUGGAAACGGUGGCUAAUACCCCAUACUGUCGGAUAACCCAUAUUGGAUUAGCUAGUAGGUAAGGUAAUGGCUUACCUAGGCGACGAGCCCUAGCUGGUCUGAGAGGAUGAUCAGCGACACUGGGACUGAGACACGGCCCAGACUCCGACGGAGGCAGCAGUGGGGAAUUUUGCACAAGGGGCGCAAGCCUGAUGCAGCCAUGCCGCGUGUAUGAAGAAGGCCCUAGGGUUGUAAAGUACUUUCAGUCGGGAGGCGUUACCUACAGAAGAAGCACCGGCUAACUCCGUGCCAGCAGCCGCGGUAAUUC
rnacentral:rRNA from 1 species